rnacentral:rRNA from 1 species
AAACCAGCACCUCAAGUGGUCAGGAUGAUUAUUGGGCCUAAAGCAUCCGUAGCCUGCUUUGUAAGUUUUCGGUUAAAUCCAUAUGCUCAACAUAUGGGCUGCCGGGAAUACUGCACAGCUAGGGAGUGGGAGAGGUAGACGGUACUCGGUAGGAAGGGGUAAAAUCCUUUGAUCUAUUGAUGACCACCUGUGGCGAAGGCGGUCUACCAGAACACGUCCGACGGUGAGGGAUGAAAGCUGGGGGAGCAAACCGGAUUAGAAACCCUAGUAGUCC